rnacentral:lncRNA from 1 species
GAGGUACCAGGAGACAUCCCAGAAGCUCAUGGAGGACCCUACUCCCCUGACUGACUUGUCCUACUUCUACAAAGCAUUGGCCAUGAUAGGAUCCCAGGUGGAGCCAUCAACACAGCCAUACCCUGCUGGCAGCAAUUAAUAUCUAAGCACUAGUCAUAGCUCCCAGCCCUCUCUGUGAACCCAUUAUUUCAGCCUCUUAGCGAUGUUAAAACACGCUAUUAUCCCCUAUGUAAAUGGAUAGAGGCCACUGGAGAACACAGAGAUCCUGAAGUUGGGGUUUAUUUACCUCAAUGGUAGAGGCUGGCCUAGCAAACAUAAGGCCCUACCCUGCUCCAGAAAAAGAAAGUCACAAAGAGGUGGUAAGUCUCUGGGACUUGUAGUAUUAACCACCUCUUGGUGUUUUUUGUUUGUUUGCUUUUGUGUUUUUAUACUGAACACUCAGUGUGUGUAGGCUUUUUUUUUUUUUUACCUCUUUUAAUUGAUUCAAAAGGAUGGGGGGGUAGAUCAGUGCUAGAGUGCUUAAUUCAAGGCCUGGGGUUUGAUCCCCAGAACCACACACACAAAACAGAAGAAACAGAGACAGGGCUGGAAUUUGAACCUGGUUUCCUUUACUCUGGAAGUGGUAGCUCAGGGCUUUGACACUUGGCGCUGACUUGGGAGGCUAACUGCCACACCAGUUCUUACAUUUUCUAGAUAACCCACUUGGUUUCUAUGAAUUCUUGGCACAUAGGAAUCAUUUGAGCUCUCCUUAGCCAGCCCUGAAUUUGGUGCAGCACCCUGAGAUAAUUCACUUCACCAUCAGCCCUGAUCUGAAUCCUGCCAGGGCUGUGACCUUGGAGCAAGUUGCUUUUCUCAGUUAUGAAUUGGGAUUAUUAUUUUUCUCCAUAAUCUUCCCUCGUUCGUUCGUUCGUUCAUUCAUUCAUUCGUUCGUUCAUACAUGCAUGCAUUUGGUGUUUGAGUUGUGCAUUCAUGAUAUUGUCUUGGUCCUUGUUUGAGGCAGAGUCUCUCAUUGUCUGUUGAUGCAUAGGCCAGCCUAGCUUCUGAGAAUUCUCCCACCUUCCCACUAGGAGCAUAGGGAUUAUGGGCAUGGACUACUGGGUCAAGCUUUUUAAGAUUUCUGUGGAUCUGGACUCAGGCCAUCAGACUUUGACAGGAAGUCCUUUUUCCACAAAUCAAUCCCUGCCGUACUUAUUUUUUUUUUAAACACAAUCUUGUCAUACGUUUUAAGUGUAGAAUUAUAGUUCUGUUAGGCAUAGGCAUACUCUCACACUGUCAUGAAGCCAAUCUGCAAACAUUUUGCAUCUUUCAAAACAAAUGCUCUGUCCACUGAAUAAUUCCCUAUUUCUCCUGUCCCUAGACUGUGGUCCUCAGCAUCUUGCCUUCUGCCUCUGUGAAUCUGACUCCUCUGGAGAUUUGCUGUAGAUGCAAUCAGCAAGAUUGAUCUCUUAGUGGCUGGCUUGUCUCACUUAAUGUAAUGUCAAUAUGCGUCUGUGUUGUAAGAUGACAGGAUUUCCUUUUUAAGACUUAGUAAUAUUCUGAUGUAUGUGUAACACCCCUCUGUGUUUAUCCAUUCACUGGAGACAGACAUGGGUUACUGGUACCUACUGAUGCAUAUGCUAAUAUCCCUUGGAGAGCUUGCAUAGAAUCCUUUUAAUAAAUGACCAUUAGUAAAUUG